AUCUGAUGCACAUGGAAUUCGAAGGAUUUUCUCUUGAAGCGGAUCGUUCACCUUUUGCAGGAAUCGUCGAAACUGAGAAGAAAAUUGUCUGUCAUCUUCCACCCAAUAAACAGCGAAAAGGGUUUCGGCAAUGAAGCCUACACACAGGUUUGAAAGGUCCACAGUCCAAGCCGAGCGGGAGGAGGAGCACAAGCGUGAACAUGACUCGUAGGGAGGAGUACACAAUAGGCUAACUAUACCUCUGAGCGCUCUGUCUGUGGGCCACGCCGUGUUUUCGAGCCGCAAUAAUUCUGGAAAUAAUUGGCGCGAUUGGCUAGGGCGCUGAGGCUGUGUCUGCUGCGCCUGUCCCACGUGAGUGGACAGAGUGCCCCCUCUGCCGGGCUGGGGGAGGAGAGAGAGAGAGAGAGAGAGAGACCAGCUGUAAAGCGGGGCCCUCCCUCAAUCGAGGUCACUUGCGCGCAAAAAGCCACCGCCCACUGCCUCCCCCCGCGGGCUCGCCGGCACGUGCGGCCUAUGUACGGCCCGCGUGCGCCGUGGUGAUCCUCUUGGCUACGACAAAUUUUGCUACGGCCACACGGAAAACACAAUAGGCAGGG